CCACUCAUUCAAAGAGUGCGUAAUAGCUCACUAGUCAAGAGAUCCUGCGCCGAAGAUGUCCGGGGCUAAAACUUACCACCGAAGCUAUGGGUGUACACUAUGUGUACGCGGUAGAGGAGCUUUCUGCAUUGGCUGAAGUCGUACCGAAAGGAGCGGUGGACGAUGCAGAAGUGAGAAUGUUGGCAUAAGUAGCGAGAGACAGGUGAGAAUCCUGUCGGUCGAAAACCUAAGGUUUCCUGAGGAAGGCUCGUCCGCUCAGGGUUAGUCGGGACCUAAGCCGAGGCCGAAAGGCGUAGGUGAUGGACAACAGGUUGAUAUUCCUGUACCACUAGCAGACGUUAUUACAAAUGGGGUGACGCAGGAGGAUAAGAUGUGCUAGCUAUUGGAUGCUAGUCUAAGCGUUUAGGUAUGUAGGAUAGGCAAAUCCACCUACAUUAGCUGAGGCGUGAUGGGGAAGCCCUUUAAGGGUGAAGUAUCUGAUUCCACGCUGCCAAGAAAAGCCUCUAUGGAGGAAGUUAGUGCCCGUACCGCAAACCGACACAGGUAGGUGAGGAGAGAAUCCUAAGACCAUCGGAAGAAUUGCUGUUAAGGAACUCGGCAAAUUGACCCCGUAACUUCGGGAGAAGGGGUGCCUACGCAAGUAGGCCGCAGAGAAUAGGCCCAAGCAACUGUUUAGCAAAAACACAGGUCUCUGCUAAAGCGAAAGCUGAUGUAUAGGGGCUGACGCCUGCCCGGUGCUGGAAGGUUAAGGGGAUUGCUUAGUGCAAACGAAGGCAUGAACUUAAGCCCCAGUAAACGGCGGCC
rnacentral:rRNA from 1 species